rnacentral:sRNA from 1 species
GGUUUGCCAUUUUCAACGCUUGAAGCGCGU